rnacentral:rRNA from 1 species
UACGUAGGGGCCUAGCGUUGUCCGGAAUCAUUGGGCGUAAAGGGCACGCAGGCGGUGCGGCGCGUUUCGCGUGACAGCGGGUGGCUUAACUGCCCGAGGAUGCGAAAGACGGCGGCACUUGAGGGCCAGAGAGGGACACGGAAUUCCGGGUGGAGUGGUGAAAUGCGUAGAGAUCCGGAGGAACACCGAAGGCGAAGGCAGUGUCCUGGCUGGUGACUGACGCUGAGGUGCGAAAGCUAGGGGAGCGAACGGG